UACGUAGGGGGCAAGCGUUGUCCGGAAUCAUUGGGCGUAAAGGGCGCGUAGGCGGCCAGCACAAGUCAGUUGUGAAAUCUCCGAGCUUAACUCGGAAAGGUCAACUGAUACUGUGCGGCUAGAGUGCGGAAGGGGCAACUGGAAUUCUUGGUGUAGCGGUGAAAUGCGUAGAUAUCAAGAGGAACACCUGCGGCGAAGGCGGGUUGCUGGGCCGAUACUGACGCUGAGGAGCGAAAGCGUGGGGAGCGAACAGG
rnacentral:rRNA from 1 species